rfam:Felis catus isolate Cinnamon breed Abyssinian chromosome A3, whole genome shotgun sequence.
GCCUGGGUGGCUCAGUCGGUUGAGCGUCUGACUUUGGCUCAGGUCAUGAUCUCCCAGCUCGUGAGUUCGAGCCCCACAUCGGGCU